AUUGAACGCUGGCGGCAGGCCUAACACAUGCAAGUCGAACGAGUGGCGGACGGGUGAGUAAUGUCUGGGAAACUGCCUGAUGGAGGGGGAUAACUCCUGGAAACGGUAGCUAAUACCGCAUACCAUCGGAUGUGCCCAGAUGGGAUUAGCUAGUAGGUGGGGGAAAGGCUCACCUAGGCGACGAUCCCUAGCUGGUAUGAGAGGAUGACCAGCCACACUGGAACUGCAACACGGUCCAGACUCCUACGGGAGGAAGCAGUGGGGAAUAUUGCAAAAUGGUCGAAAGCCUGAUGCGGCCAGGCCGCGUGUAUGAAGAAGGCCGUCGGGUUGUAAAGUACUUUCAGCGGGGAGGCGUUACCCGCAGAAGAAGCACCGGCUAACUCCGUGCCAGCAGCCGCGGUAAUUC
rnacentral:rRNA from 1 species